rnacentral:lncRNA from 1 species
CAUGUGCACACCAAGCUGUUCUUGAACAGAAUGCAGGAACCAGGUCCUGCUCCCCAGGCUGGCCUACACUGGCGCAGACAUCCACGAGCUGUCUACAGGCCCUCUGCACACCAGAACCAGACAGCAGCCUGGAGCUGAAGCAUGGUCAUGAGGACAGUUGGGCUGUGCUGAAGACCCAGCUGGCUCCAGCUGUUUUGAAAGGACUCCAGCCCCCCAGGACCCCAGCCAACAGCCCUCUGCUGCCCACAGGAUGGGAGCC